CAUUAUGAGUUAUCAAUUACACAUAAAGACACAUUGGGUCAAGAGAGCACUUUCUUAUGCUCAUUUGUCUGAAUUGCCCUUCAACUAGAGAGAAGGUGUCGGUAACAUUUGUCAAAAUUCUUUUCAAUAUUCUCUAUAAUUAAUUCCAUUCAACUUUCACCUUUUGGUUUCAUAUUUCUUAAUUCCCUAAACUCAAUCUUGCCUCAAUCUAUCGUCAUCUUCAUCUCUCAUCUUUCGUAUCCUUCUAAAGCUUCUUCUUCUUCACAAAAUUUGUAGAUUUUUUUAUAAUUCUAAAUCACUAAUUUCUGUUUGUCGCUUUAUCUUUCACUACUUUAUGUUUUAAAUCUGGAAAUCAUGGAAACCUCAGAUUGAGGCUAAGGAAAAUCUAUUAUGAAAUCUCAGAUUGGGAAAUUCCAGAUCUUCACCGAAUAUAUCCAAGGUUUGCUUUUAACUGAACUAUGAGAAUUUCAUAUACAUAUUUUUUUUCCUCUUUCAUACUUGUUUCUAAUUGAUAUACAAGAAGAUAAGAAAUAGAUAAAAAUUUGAUUUUCUUCUUAAGCAUACAUCGAAGCCUAUGUCUCUCCUGCAACAUUUGAUUCACAUGUCGCCCAUGCUUUUCAUGUCCAACAAUUUCCUUGUCCACAAAUGGGCUAUCCAUAAAGCUGUCGUCCAUGAAUUUCAUGUCCACCAAGCUCGUAUCCAUCCAUAUCCUCCCCAUCGUUCUCUUACCCACCAAUCUCAUAUCUGCAUCUCUCUUGUAUAUCAAUUUUUGGAUAUGACUUAACUAUGUGUGUGAGGUAACUAUUAUCUAAACGGUGGUAUAUUUUGAGUUAAGUGUGACUUCUCCCUGUUUGUAAGCAAAUAAGGGUUUGGAAGAUAGUCUCUUGUUGUUGCAUCUGUUGCUAAUGUUGUUCAGACAUGAACUAUGGAGUUCACUUCCAAGUUAAGUUGGUAGCUUCCAUGUUUGGUAUCUAAUUGGCACUAUACAAAAGUCUGGGACAGUUCACAAUA